UACGGGGGGGGCAAGCGUUGUUCGGAAUUACUGGGCGUAAAGGGCUCGUAGGCGGCCAACUAAGUCGGAUGUGAAAUCCCCAGGCUCAACCUGGGAACUGCAUCCGAUACUGGAUGGCUUGAAUUCGGGAGAGGGAUGCAGAAUUCCCGGUGUAGCGGUGAAAUGCGUAGAGAUCGGGAGGAACACCAGAGGCGAAGGCGGCGACCUGGACAGGUACUGACACUCAACUACGAAAGCGUGGGGAGCAAACAGG
rnacentral:rRNA from 1 species